rnacentral:lncRNA from 1 species
AUACAGAUCGGAAAAGAAGAAGUCAAAAUAUCACUAUUUGCAGAUGAUGUGAUAGCAUACUUACAUGACCCCAAAAGUUCCACCAAAACUAGAUAAGAUUGAUGAAGCUAAAAAAUGCAUGCUGAAAGGGACCAGAUAUAGAUCUCUCCUGAGAGACACAUCCAGAACAUGUCCAAUACAGAGGUCAAUGCUAGCAGCAAACCACAGAACACUGAGCAAGACCCUCUUGGGGGUAAUUAGAGGAAGUACUGAAAGAGUUGAAGGAGCUUGCAACGCCAUAAAAACAACAAUGCCAACCAACAACAGCUUCCAGGGACUAAACCACCACCAAAAAACUAUACAUGGUCUGACCCAGGGUUCCAACUACAUAUGUAGCAGAGAAUAGCCUUGUUGGGGCACCAGUGGAAUGGGAAGCCCUUGGUCCUGCCAAGGUUGGACCCCCAGUGCAGAGGAAUAUAGGAGAGCAUGCAGUAAGGGGGAUGUAUGGUGGGAAUACCUGUAUGGGGGAGGGUUAGGAGAGGGGAUGAAAGCUUAUGGACAGGAAACCAGGAAGGGGAAUAACAUUUGAAAUGUAUGUAAAGAAAUAUUAUCUAAUAAAAAUUUUUUUAAAAAACAAGAGAAAACAAAGAAGCUCAGGAAAAUGUAUUCAAAUAAAUAUUUUCCAAAUAUGUAAUGUUCUACCCAAAAAAUAAAAGUUAAAAAAAGAA